rnacentral:lncRNA from 10 species
AGAUGGCACCACUGCACUCCAGCCUGGGUGAUAGAGUGAGACUCCAAGAAAAAAAAAAAAGGAUGGCUGAGUAGGCCUGGAGGUGGUAUGUUCAAAAAAAGGACAUGGAUUCUGGAACCAAUGGGUCAGAGUGUUGUGAGGAGAUUGCCGGACUCCUGACGGGGAUGCUGCCGUGUUUUCUGCCGGGCCAGGUGUGAAAAUCUAUUCAUCCAG